CCCCAGGUAGUCCAGCAGUUAGGACUCUGAACUUCCACUGCAGGAGAUACGGGUUCAAUCCCUGGUCAGGGAA
rfam:Ovis aries breed Texel chromosome 7, whole genome shotgun sequence.